rnacentral:rRNA from 1 species
GGGUGAGUAACACGUGAGUAACCUGCCUUUGACUCUGGGAUAAGCGUUGGAAACGACGUCUAAUACCGGAUACGACAACUCAUCGCAUGGUGUGGUUGUGGAAAGAUUUUUUGGUUGGAGAUGGACUCGCGGCCUAUCAGGUUGUUGGUGGGGUGAUGGCUCACCAAGCCUACGACGGGUAGCCGGCCUGAGAGGGUGACCGGCCACACUGGGACUGAGACACGGCCCAGACUCCUACGGGAGGCAGCAGUGGGGAAUAUUGCACAAUGGGCGAAAGCCUGAUGCAGCAACGCCGCGUGAGGGAUGACGGCCUUCGGGUUGUAAACCUCUUUUAGUACAGAAGAAGCCAGCUUGCUGGUGACGGUAUGUGCAGAAAAAGCACCGGCUAACUACGUGCCAGCAGCCGCGGUAAUACGUAGGGUGCAAGCGUUGUCCGGAAUUAUUGGGCGUAAAGAGCUCGUAGGCGGUUUGUCGCGUCUGCUGUGAAAUCCGGAGGCUCAACUUCCGGCCUGCAGUGGGUACGGGCAGACUAGAGUGCGGUAGGGGAGAUUGGAAUUCCUGGUGUAGCGGUGGAAUGCGCAGAUAUCAGGAGGAACACCGAUGGCGAAGGCAGAUCUCUGGGCCGUAACUGACGCUGAGGAGCGAAAGCAUGGGGAGCGAACAGGAUUAGAUACCCUGGUAGUCCAUGCCGUAAACGUUGGGAACUAGAUGUAGGGGCCAUU